rnacentral:piRNA from 1 species
UCUGUCGAAUGAACCCAAUGAUUUGU